AACGAACGCUGGCGGCGUGCCUAACACAUGCAAGUCGAGCGCGAAAAGGGCAACCUGAGUAGAGCGGCGCACGGGUGCGUAACACGUGGGUAAUCUGCCUUAGAGUCGAGGAUAACCUUCCGAAAGGUUGGCUAAUACUCGGUAAGCUUACGGUGUCUUCGGACGCUGUGGGAAAAGUAGGCCUCUGUUUACAAGCUUACGCUCUGAGAUGAGCCCGCGGCCCAUCAGCUAGUUGGCGGUGUAACGGACCACCAAGGCAACGACGGGUAGCUGGUCUGAGAGGACGAUCAGCCACACUGGAACUGAGACACGGUCCAGACUCCUACGGGAGGCAGCAGUGGGGAAUAUUGGACAAUGGGCGAAGGCCUGAUCCAGCCAUGCCGCGUGUGUGAAGAGGGUCUUCGGAUUGUAAAGCACUUUAAGUUGGGAGGAAGGGCAGUAAGCUAAUACCUUGCUGUUUUGACGUUACCGACAGAAUAAGCACCGGCUAACUUCGUGCCAGCAGCCGCAGUAAGAC
rnacentral:rRNA from 1 species